UACGUAGGUGGCAAGCGUUGUCCGGAUUUACUGGGUGUAAAGGGCGUGUAGCCGGGCUGACAAGUCAGACGUGAAAUCCGGGGGCUCAACCCCUGAACUGCAUUUGAAACUGUUGGUCUUGAGUAUCGGAGAGGCAGGCGGAAUUCCUAGUGUAGCGGUGAAAUGCGUAGAUAUUAGGAGGAACACCAGUGGCGAAGGCGGCCUGCUGGACGACAACUGACGGUGAGGCGCGAAAGCGUGGGGAGCAAACAGG
rnacentral:rRNA from 1 species